rnacentral:rRNA from 1 species
AUGCGCUUUGAAACAUUUAAAGAAGCAAAGGACUUGUACAACGUCUAUGCAAAGCACGUGGGUUUUGCCGUUAGGGAAGGCUCCAAGGUUAAGAGCAGAGUCUACCUUUAUUGCACGUGCGAUGGUGUCUAUGAAUCGAAGGUGUCAGAAGCAAAUAGACAGCGGAACAAGACGACAGCAAGGACUAACUGCGGGGCUAAAGUGAGGCUGAAGAGGGAAAAGGAUGGAACACUUGUCGUAAAAGAGAUAGUCUGGUAACACAACCACAGGCUACAGCUCUCACCCCAAAUGCUUGUCUUCUUGCACUCCCACAAAAACUUUGACAAAACAAUCUUGGAGUACGUCAAGUACCUGCAGUUCAAAGGCAUUGAACACACGCAAAUCAAGAGCAUACUCGGCGGUGAUGACCCCGGCCGCUACUUCCUCGAAAUGAAUGCCAAAGACCUGAUUAACAUCAAAGCAAAGAAUUCAAGGAUGGAUGAUGUGGAUGAUGUCCUAAAGACUGUCAACUUCUUUAGGGAGAUGAUAGCUAUAAACAGGGAAUUCUUCUGUGACAUGCAACCGAACGCAAGCUGCCGAGGGGCGUAUCAAGACUUUGGUGACUGCGUAACGUUUGACACCACAUAUAAGACCAACAAGUACCAUAUGCCACUUGGGGUGUUUGUGGGUACUAACAACCACUUACAGACUACAUUCUUUGCUUUCUGCCUGAUAAGAGAUGAGGAUGCAGAUUCAUUCAGAUGGUUGUUCAAGACAUUUUUAAGGUGCAUGCAUCCUCAUAGGUCUCUUUUCUCAUUACCAGACCAGUGCCCGGCAAUGGCUUUGGCGAUCCCAGAUGCUUUCAGGAACACAGUACAAAAGCUGUGCCGCUGGCACAUUAUGAAGUAGUACAGGGAACACCUCGCAUACCUGUACAACCUCCACGAAGACUUUAAGGAUGAAUUCACAUCAAUCCUCAACUGGCCCCUCAUGCCAACUGAGUUUGAGGCUGCCUGGAAAGGACUCAUGGAUACGUAGAACCUCCAUGAUGAUACCACGAUGGUGGCCAUGUGGAACGAGCGUGAGAGAUGGAUAUCAACUUACUUCAAAGAAAUUUUCUGUGCCAAAAUGACAUCCACGCAACAAAGUGAGAGCAUGAACAAUGUGCUCAAGAGAACUUCCUAA